GUUGUGGAACUGAGAAUUUUUGUGAUUGAAAAGUUGAAUUUCUUGUGCGAAAUGGCCAUCUGGGUUUACAUCAGCCGAUGCAAUGGCUUAGAAUGUCCUGGAUGUUACGAAAUAAUGUCGUGAGAUUGUUCGAAAAGAAAUGCUUGUACGAGAUUCAAACAUGUUCAUCGCUGCUCCAAAGGGAUACGAAACUUCGCAUGACACACAAAUUAAGAAAUAACACCGAGGCUUCUGCUGGCGAGAAAAGCG